GGUGGUUCUCAGGUGACGCACCCCAGAAUCGGGCUCCCUCCUCUCUGGUUCUGGGUGCAUCACUCCAGAACUGCA
rfam:Myotis lucifugus cont2.70998, whole genome shotgun sequence.